rnacentral:rRNA from 1 species
AGCGAACGCUGGCGGCAGGCUUAACACAUGCAAGUCGAACGCUCGUAGCAAUACGGGAGUGGCAGACGGGUGAGUAACGCGUGGGAACAUACCCUUUGGUUUGGAAUAACUCAGGGAAACUUGAGCUAAUACCGGAUAAGCCCUCACGGGGAAAGAUUUAUCGCCGAAGGAUUGGCCCGCGUCCGAUUAGCUAGUUGGUGAGGUAACGGCUCACCAAGGCGACGAUCGGUAGCUGGUCUGAGAGGAUGAUCAGCCACACUGGGACUGAGACACGGCCCAGACUCCUACGGGAGGCAGCAGUGGGGAAUAUUGGACAAUGGGGGCAACCCUGAUCCAGCCAUGCCGCGUGAGUGAUGAAGGCCCUAGGGUUGUAAAGCUCUUUCGGCGGGGACGAUAAUGACGGUACCCGCAGAAGAAGCCCCGGCUAACUUCGUG